UCCAACAUGAUGAUGAAUAUGUUUGAAGAUUUUCUAAACCCUGCACCUUUCCAAUUCAUCAUAAUUUUUUCAACAUAUAGUUUAUCUUACAGAGACAAAAUUUAAACAUUCAGAUUGAUUUGGUGGAUGUACAAGGUUCGAAGGUUGCUCUGGAGCAUCAAUCUAGACGGGGCAUCCUACAACUGAAAAAACCCAGUGCUCUCUAUUUUGAUCUGUUGAAGAAGCUACUGUUGUCUUAGCUGCUAGCAUUGAUUGUGGUUUCUUGCUUCUGCCUUCUUGUGGUUGCAGAUUGUUUAGCCCAAGCUAUGCUGGUAGCCAUCAAAAUAUGUCGUAUUUUUGGCUUGUGAUCCUCUCCUGACUUAUAUUUGGGUAAUGUGGAUGGCUUGAUAUGCAAAAAGAGGUUAGGGACUAACACUUUAUACCAAAACAAUGGAGAGUUGAAGCUUCUGAACUGGAAGCUUGAACAAAAAAAUUGCCAUGGACACUCUACUCGUCAUCAUGUCUUUGAUUAGUGUCAUUUCCACUGAAUAUGAUUCCGAUUUGUUUGUAUAGAAUUGAUUUUCAGAAGUGAUGUUCUUCUGGUGGUUCUCCAGUGGGAUCUGGAUACGAAUCUUCAGUGCAUCUUCUCGGUUUGCUGCGGAACUUCCUAUUUUAAUUUGGCAACUUGUAAAAUAAGUCUCGCUAAAUUUGAUGACUACUGCUGAUUGUAUACUUUUCAACUCAAGUAGCUUGUACAUGUCAGUUUCAUUCAUGCUGGAUAUUCUCAUUCAUGUUCUGGAAUUUAUAGCUUUCCUUAUUUGUGCCCGUAUGUCCCUGCCUUGUGAUCUUGUGCAAAUGUUGUGUGAAUAUUUACUGCCUUUGGUGAAUUGUGUGCGGUGCCAAUCCUGCCUUUGGUUGAUCUUGUGGCUUGUGUACUUAGCUGAAUAUAAUUGGU
rnacentral:lncRNA from 1 species